UACGGGGGGAGCAAGCGUUGUUCGGAUUUACUGGGCGUAAAGGGCGCGUAGGCGGCCACCGCAAGUCAGUUGUGAAAUCUCUGGGCUUAACCCAGAACGGUCAGCUGAUACUGUCAUGCUAGAGUGCAGAAGGGGCAAUCGGAAUUCUUGGUGUAGCGGUGAAAUGCGUAGAUAUCAAGAGGAACACCUGAGGUGAAGACGGGUUGCUGGGCUGACACUGACGCUGAAGCACGAAAGCUAGGGUAGCAAACGGG
rnacentral:rRNA from 1 species